rnacentral:rRNA from 1 species
GAUGAACGCUGGCGGCGUGCCUAACACAUGCAAGUCGAACGGAAAGACGAUGAGCUUGUGCCUCUGACGUUAGCGGCGGGCGGGUGAGUAACGCGUGGAUCACCUCCUUAUAUGUCGGGGAUAACUACGGGAAACCGGAGAUAAUACCAGAUAAUAUCUUGAACCGCAGGGUGCAAUGGAGAAUGACGGCUUUGGUGUCUGUUAUAGCUGGUUACGAGCCGGAUUAGCUAGUUGGUAGGGUAACAGCUUACCAAGGCGACGAUGCGUGGCCGAGCGGAGGGGGUGAUCGGCCACACUGGAACUGAGACACGGUCCAGACUCCUACGGGAGGCAGCAGUAGGGAAUCUUCCGCAAUGGGCGAAAGCCUGACGGAGCGACGCCGCGUGAGUGAUGAAGGCCUUCGGAUCGUAAAGCCCUGUUUUUGGGGAAGAACAGAUUUGGAAUUAACCAAGGACGUCUUGACGGUACCUAAUCAAAAAGCCCCGGCUAACUACGUG